rnacentral:rRNA from 1 species
UACAGAGGUCUCAAGCGUUGUUCGGAUUCAUUGGGCGUAAAGGGUGCGUAGGCGGCGCGGUAAGUCGGGUGUGAAAUCUCGGAGCUUAACUCCGAAACUGCAUUCGAUACUGCCGUGCUUGGGGACUGGAGAGGAGACUGGAAUUUACGGUGUAGCGGUGAAAUGCGUAGAUAUCGUAAGGAAGACCAGUGGCGAAGGCGGGUCUCUGGACAGUUCCUGACGCUGAGGCGCGAAAGCGUGGGGAGCAAACGGG